ACGCUCGACACCUACGGGGGGCAGCAGUGGGGAAGUAUUGCACAAUGGGGGAAACCCGUACGAUGCAGCGACGCCGCGUGAGCGAAGAAGUAUUUCGGUAUGUAAAGCUCUAUCAGCAGGGAAGAAGAAAGACGGUACCUGACUAAGAAGCCCCGGCUAACUACGUGCCAGUAGCCGCGGUAAUCUGAGCGGGCUGGCAAGGC
rnacentral:rRNA from 1 species